GCCGCGGGGGGAGGGCGCCCGUGGGGUGAUUCAGCGCUCGGCGGAGCGGAAGGAGGCGGCGGCGGCGGAGGAGGCAGCGGCGCCGCGGCUGCUGCUGCUGCUGGGGCUGCAGGGGGUGGAGAGCGCCGGAACCGGCCCCACCACCGCCUCCUCCGGUGCCGGCGGCCCUCGUGAGCCCGGGCUGCCGCCGCGGCGAGGCGAGCCGAGCGCGUCCUAGCGGGGCGGGAGGAGUCGGAGGCGGCCCCGGGCGGGCUCGGGCUCGGGCUCCGCAGCCAUGGAGAACGCGCACACCAAGACGGUGGAGGAGGUGCUGGGCUAUUUCGGCGUCAACGAGAGCACCGGGCUGAGCCUGGAGCAGGUCAAGAAGCUCAAGGAGCGCUGGGGCUCCAACGAAUUGCCAGCAGAAGAAGGGAAAACCUUAUUGGAGCUUGUAAUUGAGCAGUUCGAAGAUUUAUUAGUUAGAAUUUUGCUGUUGGCAGCCUGCAUCUCUUUUGUUCUGGCCUGGUUUGAAGAAGGAGAAGAAACAAUCACCGCAUUUGUGGAGCCGUUUGUAAUUCUGCUUAUCUUGGUGGCCAAUGCCAUCGUGGGUGUGUGGCAGGAAAGAAAUGCUGAGAAUGCAAUUGAAGCUCUUAAGGAAUAUGAACCUGAAAUGGGUAAAGUUUAUCGGCAGGAUAGGAAGAGCGUCCAGCGGAUCAAAGCCAAAGACAUAGUUCCUGGGGAUAUUGUGGAAAUAGCUGUUGGUGACAAAGUUCCUGCAGACAUAAGGUUGACGUCCAUCAAGUCUACCACCUUAAGAGUGGACCAGUCCAUUCUCACAGGUGAAUCCGUCUCUGUUAUUAAACACACGGACCCUGUGCCUGAUCCCCGGGCUGUCAACCAAGAUAAGAAGAAUAUGCUCUUCUCUGGUACAAAUAUUGCUGCUGGAAAAGCCAUGGGAGUGGUCGUUGCCACUGGUGUGAACACUGAAAUUGGCAAAAUCCGUGAUGAGAUGGUGGCGACGGAGCAGGAGAGGACGCCCCUGCAGCAGAAGCUGGACGAGUUUGGGGAACAGCUGUCCAAAGUCAUCUCUCUCAUUUGCAUUGCGGUCUGGAUGAUCAACAUUGGGCACUUCAAUGACCCUGUGCACGGGGGAUCGUGGAUCCGAGGCGCCAUCUACUACUUUAAAAUCGCAGUCGCCCUGGCUGUUGCAGCCAUUCCCGAGGGUCUGCCUGCCGUCAUCACCACCUGCCUGGCCCUGGGCACCCGCCGAAUGGCCAAGAAGAAUGCCAUCGUUAGGAGCCUGCCGUCUGUAGAGACCCUGGGCUGCACCUCGGUCAUCUGCUCAGACAAGACCGGCACGCUGACCACCAACCAGAUGUCCGUGUGCAGGAUGUUUAUUCUGGACCGAGUUGAAGGAGAUAGCUGUUCCUUGAAUGAGUUCACCAUCACCGGCUCAACAUAUGCACCCAUGGGAGAAGUGCAUAAAGAUGAGAAGCCAGUGAAGUGUCACCAGUACGACGGCCUGGUGGAGCUGGCCACAAUCUGUGCCCUUUGUAAUGACUCUGCGUUGGAUUACAACGAGGCAAAAGGAGUAUAUGAAAAAGUUGGGGAAGCCACAGAGACUGCCCUCACUUGUCUGGUCGAGAAGAUGAACGUCUUUGACACGGAGCUCAAAGGCCUCUCCAAGAUCGAACGUGCCAACGCUUGCAACUCGGUCAUAAAACAACUGAUGAAGAAGGAAUUCACCCUCGAGUUUUCAAGAGAUCGAAAAUCAAUGUCUGUCUACUGCACGCCAAACAAACCGAGCCGGACUUCAAUGAGCAAGAUGUUUGUUAAGGGGGCCCCCGAAGGCGUCAUCGAUAGGUGCACGCACAUUCGUGUGGGGAGCACCAAGGUCCCCAUGACUCCAGGGGUCAAGCAGAAGAUCAUGACGGUCAUUCGGGAAUGGGGCACUGGCAGAGACACCCUGCGCUGCUUGGCACUGGCCACGCAUGACAAUCCUCCCAGAAGAGAGGAGAUGAAUCUGGAGGACUCGGCCAACUUCAUUAAAUAUGAGACCAAUCUGACUUUUGUCGGCUGUGUGGGCAUGCUUGACCCUCCAAGGACUGAAGUGGCCUCAUCAAUUAAGCUCUGUCGGCAGGCCGGCAUCCGCGUCAUCAUGAUCACUGGGGACAACAAGGGCACCGCCGUGGCCAUCUGCCGUCGCAUCGGCAUCUUUGGCAACGACGAGGACGUCACCACCAAGGCCUUCACGGGCCGAGAGUUCGACGAACUGAGUCCUGCUGCCCAGAGGGACGCCUGCCUCAAUGCCCGCUGCUUUGCAAGGGUGGAACCCUCCCAUAAGUCCAAGAUCGUUGAGUUCCUGCAAUCUUUUGAUGAGAUCACAGCUAUGACUGGGGAUGGCGUCAACGAUGCACCAGCCCUGAAAAAAUCUGAGAUCGGCAUCGCAAUGGGGUCCGGGACCGCGGUAGCCAAAACCGCCUCAGAGAUGGUGCUGGCCGAUGACAACUUCUCAACCAUUGUGGCGGCCGUCGAGGAAGGGCGCGCCAUCUACAACAACAUGAAGCAGUUCAUUCGCUACCUCAUCUCUUCCAAUGUGGGGGAAGUUGUGUGCAUUUUCCUGACUGCUGCUCUAGGCUUUCCUGAGGCACUAAUUCCUGUCCAGCUCUUAUGGGUAAACCUGGUGACAGACGGCCUCCCAGCCACAGCCCUGGGCUUCAACCCUCCUGACUUGGACAUCAUGAACAAGCCACCCCGAAAUCCCAAGGAGCCCCUCAUCAGUGGCUGGCUCUUCUUCCGUUACCUGGCCAUCGGAUGCUAUGUCGGAGCUGCGACCGUUGGGGCGGCUGCGUGGUGGUUCAUUGCUGCUGAUGGCGGUCCAAGGAUCACCUUCUACCAGCUGAGUCACUUCCUGCAGUGUAAAGAGGACAACCCAGACUUUGAGGGUGUGGACUGCGCAAUCUUUGAGUCGCCAUACCCCAUGACGAUGGCGCUGUCAGUGCUGGUGACCAUCGAGAUGUGCAACGCACUCAACAGCUUAUCUGAAAACCAGUCCCUGCUGAGGAUGCCGCCUUGGGAGAACAUCUGGCUGGUGGGCUCCAUCUGCCUCUCCAUGUCCCUCCACUUCCUGAUCCUCUACGUGGAGCCCCUGCCGCUCAUCUUCCAGAUCACGCCUCUGAACGUGACCCAGUGGCUUAUGGUGCUCAAGAUCUCCCUGCCCGUGAUUCUCAUGGAUGAGACCCUGAAGUUUGUGGCCCGUAACUACCUGGAACCUGGUAAAGAGUGUGUGCAGCCCGCCACCAAACCGUGCUCUUUCCCAGCCUGCACCGAAGGGAUUUCCUGGCCGUUUGUGCUGAUCAUUAUGCCCUUGGUUAUCUGGCUUUAUAGCACAGACACUAACUUUAGUGACAUGUUCUGGUCUUGACUGACGUAGUUUUACAUAAAAGAUGUUUAACUUAAUCAAUUAAUUUUUUUUUAUUGUUUAAAGCAACUGUCUAUUUCUGCUGAAUUUUCACAUGAACAUGUUUGCUGGUGAAGGAGGUUUCAUACUCUAGAUCUUGUUUUGCUUUUUCUGACUCCCGUGGGGCAAGAUUUUCCUUUUUUAUACACAUGAUUAAAGUGUCCAUUGACAUGUACAGAGAACUCACACUAUUUUAUGCAAAGAUUCUUUUGUAGAUGAAAAAGCAUGUACAGUGUUCUGUCUAUAGUCUCAUCCUCGUAUAAAGAAAUCGUUGAGCCAGCAGACAUUGUCAGCAAAUUAAUUGGCGGCAGAUUUUAGGGAAUGAAUGUGUGUGGUUUUUGUUUUUUUGGUUUUUUUUUUCUAAAACUAAGUAGCAUGUAUUGUCUUCUGCAUGAUCACCUGGAUUUAAUUUGAUGUCACAAUCUAAUUUUUUUAUUCAUAAGCCAAUUUUUCUGCACUGAGCAGAGUACUGCUACCUCAGUCAGUAUUUUUGGUUUGCCGCCCCACCCACCCCUCACCGUCAGCACCCACCCCCUUUCCCCUUCCCCUGCUCCCUCUUGGCUUCUUGGUUCUCGGAUGCCGAUGGUUUUGUUUACACCCGUCUCAAUGAGAGGUAGGCCUAUUCUCGCUUGUGCAGAAAACGUUGUUCCAGAUUCACUCUCCUGGACUCAUCUCCCCCAACGUAGUUUUUAAGGUUAUUUAUUUAAACGUCUAAUGUAUUUUCUUGUAACAGACAUUGUUUUGCCAAUGUUGCCCACUUCAGCGGCACUUAUCUAGUUUUAAAAGAAAUAAAUAAAACCUUUUAAAUGGACAGAGGAAAAGACCUGUCUCGUUUUAACUCUAAAAGUGGCUUAAGCCUAGUUGGGACUCCUUACUAAUUGGAUAGAGUCUAUCCAUUUCCCUUCAAGGCCUUAGACCAGAGCCUUGGUAUUGUGAUCGAGAGAGGCGAGAGCCUGGCAGUUAGAAGUUGGGUCUGAGGGCAGGAGUCAUUAUCUGCUAGAUACACUAUUGCCAGUUCUGAUAGACGUGACGUGAGCUCCCAUGGUGGGGGGGGGGGUGUGCGUGUGCGUGUGUGCGCGCGUGUUUUGUAAAAUCUGUAAAUAGCACAUGACCAAAUGGACGUAUUGUAUAGAACAAUUCUUAUUUUCAUGUGGCACUAACCACCACCAUCAUUAUCAUGGUUGACGUUUGCGCAUGUUUUCAAGUUCAGUCCGAUCCCAACAGCGUGUAAGUCAUUAACUGUCCUAACUGUGGUGUUUUUCUCCAAUGCCUUCCAACAUUCAUCAACUAAACGAUACUGGAGUAACCGCUUCCUAAACCAUUUUGCAGAAGUGUGAGGUUGUUUUGUUGCGUGCAUGUGCGUUUUUUUAGCAACAUCUACCGGCCCUCUGCAUGUGUGAUGUUGGAAAAAAAAACAAAAACAAAAAAAAAGGAAAAAAAAUUCUCUCGAGCUCAUUGUGUGUGAUGUGGAGGACGUGUGUUACCAAUGGGGUUUCACUUUUUAAAGAGAAUCAAAUGCUACUUUACAAACGUGCAAUAUAGCUUAACAGAUCUGAAAACCCUCCCGGGAAGUUUGGUUCUUUGCUGUACGGAGAUUUGGGUCUUUAUAAAAACUUCGACCGAUCAAGAAUUAGGAGCCGGCAGCCAAGUUUCCAUAUUUCUCCCUGGGAUAAAAUGCCAUAGCUUAUCUAAUGUACAAAUCCUCGAUUGUAAUGCAUGCCUUCUGUUGUAAGUAGCCAACCUUCUCUGUACGGUCUCAUUGAAACGUGCUACUUUAUAAACAGCAAUGUACAGUACGCUUAUUUAUAAACUCAUGGAAAACACUACAGAUGUUGAAUGUUCAAAAUCAUAGCCAGCCCUCCAGUCCAGAACUUAAGUUUUGUUGUGUUUUUUUUAAUGUGUGCAAACAACUCUUGCACUGUAAUAAUGUAACUUAUUUAAGGAAAUCCAAGCAGUAGACAGAUGUUGGUGCAAUAAUACAAAUAUCGCGAUGCGUUUAUCUUAGGCCUGAUGCUAAAAGUCCACUUUUGAUCACAAACGCAUGUUGGACGGUAGAGACUGUAAAUAAAGAUGAGUUGUUUAUUUCUGUGCUGAAAACAAUAAGCAUCACAACCGUCAUGACUUCAGGUAAAUAAAUUUAUUCUACAAUACA